rnacentral:rRNA from 1 species
GACGAACGCUGGCGGCGUGCUUAACACAUGCAAGUCGAACGGAAAGGCCCUGCUUUUGUGGGGUGCUCGAGUGGCGAACGGGUGAGUAACACGUGAGUAACCUGCCCUUGACUUUGGGAUAACUUCAGGAAACUGGGGCUAAUACCGGAUAGGAGCUCCUGCUGCAUGGUGGGGGUUGGAAAGUUUCGGCGGUUGGGGAUGGACUCGCGGCUUAUCAGCUUGUUGGUGGGGUAGUGGCUUACCAAGGCUUUGACGGGUAGCCGGCCUGAGAGGGUGACCGGCCACAUUGGGACUGAGAUACGGCCCAGACUCCUACGGGAGGCAGCAGUGGGGAAUAUUGCACAAUGGGCGGAAGCCUGAUGCAGCAACGCCGCGUGCGGGAUGACGGCCUUCGGGUUGUAAACCGCUUGCGCCUGUGACGAAGCGUGAGUGACGGUAAUGGGUAAAGAAGCUCCGGCUAACUACGUG